AUAAUUUUUAACUUAAUAUAUUUGACUUAUAAAUAUAUAAUAUAAUUAAUUUUAUUGUUAAAGUAAAUUUCACUAAAAAAAUUUAUGUUUUGAACUGAAAAGGUUAAUUUAAAAUUAAAAUUUUAUUAAGUAAAAUUUUUUUUGUACCUUUUGUAUCAGGGUAAAUUAAUAAAAUAUAAAAAUUUAUAUUUCCCGAAUUAUAAUGAUUUAAAUUAAAUUAUAAAUUAUUGUUGUAUAAAUAUUUAAAAAUUUAUUUUAGUAAUGAUAUUUUAUCAGAUUAUAUGAUAUCUGGUUUUUCAAGAAGUGAAUUCAAUUCAAGAUUAAUUUAUAUAAUUUAUAUGUUUAUUAUAAAUUAUUAUUUUAAUCCUAUUAUAAUAAGGAUUAGCUAAUUAUAAAUAAUUAUAUGAUUAUUAAUAAAUAAUAUUUAUUUAGGCUUAUAAACAGUCAAUAUAGAGUAAGUUAAAUUUCAUAUUUUAUUAUAUUUUAUUUUCUUAUCAUUAAAUUUUUAUUGAUAAAUUUUUAAUUAAAUUAUUUUUUUAAAUUUAUAAUGAUUUAAUUAGUAUAAAUAAGAAUUUUUUUUUAUGAAUUAAGCAAAUUAAAAUUUUCACCUGUUUAUCAAAAACAUGUCUUUUAGAAAAAAAUUGAAAGUCUAAUCUGCCCAAUGAUUUUUUAUUAAAUGGCCGCAGUAAUCUGACUGUGCGAAGGUAGCAUAAUAAUUAGUCUUUUAAUUGAAGGCUUGAAUGAACGAUUGGAUGAGAAAUUUACUUUAUUAAUUUAAAUCUUUUAAUUUAAUUUUUAGGUUAAAAAGCCUAAAUAAUUAAGUUGGACGAGAAGACCCUAUAGAACUUUAAAAUAUUAAUAUUUAUUUAAAAUUAGAAUUUUUAUUUAAAUAAGCAUUUAUAUUUUUAUGUUGGGGUGACAUUAAAAAAUGUAUAACUUUAAAUAUAUUUAACAUUGAUAUAUGUACAUAAUGAUCCAAUGAAAUAUUGAUUAAAAGAAAAAGUUACCUUAGGGAUAACAGCGUUAUUAUUUUUUAGAGUUCAUAUCAAUAAAAUAGUUUGCGACCUCGAUGUUGGAUUAAGAAUAUGAUUUGGAGCAAAAUCUAAAUUUAUAAGUCUGUUCGACUUUUAAAUUCUUACAUGAUCUGAGUUCAAACCGGCGUGAGCCAGGUUGGUUUCUAUCCACUUCAAUUUUAUUAAUAUUAGUACGAAAGGACCAUAUUAAUUAAUUUAAUUAU
rnacentral:rRNA from 1 species